rnacentral:lncRNA from 1 species
CACUCUUCCUCCUUAGGUUUUCACCGAAGGUCUCUCACUGAACCUGUGAUUCAUCAGUUCAGACAGGCUGGCUAGCCAGCAAGUUUCCAAGAUCUACAUGUCUGCCCUCUCAGGCCUGGGGUUAUCAGCCAUAUUAGAUGAGCACUUUACUAACUGAAUCAUCUACUACACCCUGUGGAAACAAUGUAUCCAGGGGAUUUUUAUCUGGGGCUUUCUUAUUCAUCUACUUUAUCUUCUUUCUAAGUAUCCUUUCCUGGCAUUUGUUACAUCACAGGCUUUUGUAUCUGUAUUUCUUGACUCCUUCCUAGUUAUUUCAGUCCUGCUUUCCCUUUUUUGUUAUCUUAGCCGGGACUCUUAAAGCGUGCUCCUCUGUGGCCUUUAUGGGCCUCUCCUCUUGAGAAAGUACUUUAUUAAGGCAAACCGCAGCUCCUGUCAGUCAGUCAGUUUCAGGGCUACAAGUACUACUUAUCAUUCUCCUCCAUAGUCAAUGCAAGUUCUAUGUCCCUUAGGUUGUUUCUUCCAUAAGCCUAAGGGCUUUGCUUGUAUGACCCAAAUCCUCAUUCCUGAAUUUAAAAAAAAAAAUGUGUAUCAGUAAUUAUUUAUAUCUUACUCUGGAAUUGCUGCACAUAUCCUUCCAAAUUACAAUUUGGAAUCAAAAUGUUCCCAGAUCAGUUACCUAUAUGUUUUUCUCUGCCUACCAUCAUUUUGGUUUCCUAUUGCUCUAGCUCAGUUACCACUGCCAAGAUGGGAAAUCCUUGCCUGCUCAUACCUGGAUCCAGAGUUCAAAAUGGCUCUAACAUAGUCUAGUGGGACUCUUAUUGUGUCUCCUGGCAGAAAUGCAUCCCAUUUGGAAGCCAGGACUUUUAUACCUUCAGUGUACAGAGUUAUGGGGACUGGAAAGUGUUCCCUAACAAGUCAGUAGGACUGGUGUUCAGUGGGGUCAUUUCUGCUUUCUCUGUUUUGUUCUUGGAACCAUGUGUUUGUUCUUAGUAGGGAUAAUAAUCCAAGCCAGUGUAUGUACUACUUCCUGAAGGAUGGCAUUUAAUCCUUAUGAAACCCUGCUUCUGAACUGGCACUUCAGUUAUACCAUUAUUACAUUGAAAGCAAACAUUAAACAGCUAGGUCAGAAACACUGAGGAAGGUAAAUAAGAAGGCUUGCACUUGGCUAUGAAAUAGCCAAGCUGAGCAGGUAAGAGAAGAGGCAGAACUCUGGGCUGUUUCAGCAGGGCCCAGGAGCCCCACCCUCUCCUGCAGCAACAUGUGCAAGGUAUUGUUGCCCUUUCCCUUAGUAAACAUCUAAAAUUUACAGGUAGUUAACCCUCAUGGAUAACCAUGCAUCUAAUUGUAACAGACUGAAUUGUGGGUAAUGGCUUCUGAGAAAGCCUGCACCUUUUUUAGGAGGGCGACCUCUCCAGACUGCCCCAGGGAUAGACAAAGGAGAACUGGUGGGCAAAGUCCAGACGCUAGAGGCAUUCCUUGGCCAUUGCCACUUGGCUCACAGUACCCUCCCAUCUUGCCUUUGCCUUCCCACCUGCUACAGUAAACCUCAAGAACUUGUUUGCCCUACCUGUCCCCUAAUGUGAAUCUCUUUACUUGAGAUUGGAGGACAUGUGGGAGGAGACAUCUCUAACACCCUCAGUAGGUUGCCUGGUGAUCGAUCUGUCAAACUGAAUGACCCUGUUGAUUCCCUGGUCAUGAAUUCACAUGUUAUCUUUUUACUGUGAAGUAGGUCCCGUUUGCAUGCUGUUGAAUUGGAUCCCAUACCUGUGGUUCAGGCAUUCUUUAAGGAACUAAGUCAUGAUAAUAUAGGCCAAGGCACUGAAAGGCAUAACAACAAGUCCAUACCCAGAAUUCACCCCUGUUGGGAUAGACCACUAGCUACUCCAAAAUGGAAAGAGUCCAUGUUAUUGACCAGGUAUCUGAUUUGUCUUGAGUAAUACUGCAGUAUUGAGAACACAGUGUAGUCCUCUGCUCCUAUCAGGUUCCUUAGAAACAGGUGUAGAUAUGGAUUGGCUUUUGUAGCUGGGAAUUUAUGUUGUGACUCACAUAUAGCCUCCUGUGCAAACAUGACAACUCAUGUGUUGUCUUAGUGACAGUUCUAGAGUAGGCCAUGACAAACACUUGCUUAACACCAACUGAUAGAAUCCUUUGUCAGUAUGAAUUUUUCUGUUUCUCUUUCAUGAUGGAUGUUCUAGUCAGAAUGAACCUGUCAUUAGCCGCUAAGCAAGACAGGCACCAUCAGGGACAGAAUCCUAGGUUGAUGCACCUUCAGGGUAUCCUUUCUUUAUUUGCAGCUAAGGCUCUAUGGCUUAAGAGCAUUCCUUGGGGCGUGUCUACUCAUUAGUUUUUGCUCUGCAAGCUCCAGAAUGUGUCUACUAUAGCCUCUUUUAAAACUAUGACCUUAAACUGAAUCUGCUCAGGGAUGUACUCCUUAACUAAGCCUGCCCCUUGCUCAGUCCUGGGCCAAUCCUUACGUGAAUGUGUAUAGGCUCUCGGAAUACAAUUCCCAUGCUUGCUUUAUUGGAAGAUGUUUGGAAAGAACACCUUUGUUCGCCCUUAUCUAUUGCAAGUAAUCUUUCUCUACUCUUUUUAUAUAUUGACUGUGAUUAUUUUGGCUUGCACUCAAUGAUAUGUGACCCCAUUAUAUUUGACUACAAUAUAAUAAAAAAGAUCCUCACUCCA